rnacentral:tRNA from 1 species
ACUCUUUCCACAGGGGUUCAAAUCCUCUCGUCAACU